CGCAGAGCUUGCUCAAGGUCACCCACAGCGAGUAGUGAAGCCAGGACGUGUGCGCGGGCAAUGCGGUGCCAAAGCCUGGGAAGGUGUCGGGGCACAGAGGACUUGAGUCUAGAGCUGGGGCUCGAGGACGUCCUGGGUGUGACCGGUCCACCAGGGCUCAGGAAUGAGAGCUGUGGACCCCGCCCGCUGAUUUUCCCACUGCUCACGCUGCAGGAACUGACAUUCGAGGCCAGACCAGACUCUGGGACCCGAAAGGCCAGUCCUGGCCUGCCGACUGAGGGGGGUGCGUGUAUCGGGAGCCUGAGACGACAGACACACUCUGUGGUAGGUGCUGGAGUCAGACGGCGAUGGAAGGGAUGGUGCCUGACCUGCCAGCAAGAACAACAGAAAGAUCCUAGCCAAGGAAGCCCGGGUGUGCCCGCUCGGCUGCUGCCUGGUCACAUGACCUUUCCUUCUCUGGACCUCAGUCUCCCAUUUAACCGGCAAUGUGGAACCCAAGUGGGCUGGUGCUGAGGAUGGGUGGGACCCGUUGACUACCCUCAGAAGAAGAGUGGUCUGGUAAAAUGAAGGGGAUGGACCAUUUGACCUCUGGGGGCCCUUCCAGAUUCUCCCGGGCGAAACAGGCUACAAUGGACUGUGUUUAGAGGUGCUGACAGUGACUCGCCCCCUUGGCAAGCGUGGGUGGAGCCCCUGUGGGUACAGAAAUGAAGUAAGGCUUCCUGCCACAAAGAACCAGAAAACUGGGCAAGAUAGAAGAACAGACAUUUGACAACAGGCACCACACAAGAUGGUGACCCCUGGCCCCCUCAGCGUCUGCCUCACACAGGUCCCUGCCUGUGGCGUGGGGCGGGGAACCCCAGCAGACUACAGUGGUCUCGUUCAGGUGAGGAGACAAGACCAGAGCUCAGGACAGCGUGCCGUUCCCAAGGAUAGACGCACAGAUCAAUGGGGUCCCCAAAACAGACGCCACGAAGGUGAUGGGUGGAGAAAGAAGAGUCCUUUUGAGAGAAUACAAAAAGCAGUAACCAUAAAAGAAAAAGAUAAAUUGGACUUUAUCGAAAUUCUUGGAAAGCCUGGAAGAAAAUAUCUGCCAAGCAAAAAUCUGAGAAAGGACCAGUAUCCAGAAUAUAUAAAGAACUUUUACAACUCAGUAAUAGGAAGACAGCUCAACAAAAAGGGGGGAGGAUUUUAAUAGACACUUCGGAAGAAAGUAUACAUAUGGCCAAUAAACCCCUAAAAAGAUACA
rnacentral:lncRNA from 1 species